GUCGAGGGGCAGCGGGGGAGUAGCAAUACUCCCGCCGGCGACCGGCGCACGGGUGAGUAACACGUAUGAAACCUGCCCGUAGCAGGGGGAUAAGCGGAAGAAAUUCCGUCUAAUACCGCGUAACAACCCAUGGAGGCAUCUCCGUGGGUUUAAAGGAAGCGAUUCCGGCUACGGAUGGUCAUGCGUCGCAUUAGCUUGUUGGCGGGGUAACGGCCCACCAAGGCGACGAUGCGUAGGGGUUCUGAGAGGAAGGUCCCCCACACUGGUACUGAGACACGGACCAGACUCCUACGGGAGGCAGCAGUGAGGAAUAUUGGUCAAUGGCCGCAGGGCUGAACCAGCCAAGUCGCGUGAGGGAUGACGGUCCUAUGGAUUGUAAACCUCUUUUGUCAGGGAGCAAAGGGCGCCACGUGUGGCGUUUUGCGAGUACCUGAAGAAAAAGCAUCGGCUAACUCCGUGCCAGCAGCCGCGGUAAUACGGAGGAUGCGAGCGUUAUCCGGAUUUAUUGGGUUUAAAGGGUGCGCAGGCGGAAUGUCAAGUCAGCGGUAAAAUUUCGGGGCUCAACCCCGUCGUGCCGUUGAAACUGGCGUUCUUGAGUGAGCGAGAAGUAUGCGGAAUGCGUGGUGUAGCGGUGAAAUGCAUAGAUAUCACGCAGAACUCCGAUUGCGAAGGCAGCAUACCGGCGCUCAACUGACGCUCAUGCACGAAAGCGUGGGUAUCGAACAGGAUUAGAUACCCUGGUAGUCCACGCAGUAAACGAUGAAUACUAACUGU
rnacentral:rRNA from 1 species